rnacentral:rRNA from 1 species
AGUCAAGGGGUAGCAAUACACCGGCGGACGGGUGCGUAACGCGUACACAACGUACCUCAGAGCGGGGGAUAGCAUUGGGAAACUGGUGGUAAAACCCCAUGGUGUUGUUGAAUGGCAUCAUUUAACAACUAAAGGUUACACUCUGAGAUCGGUGUGCGUCUGAUUAGCUAGUUGGUGGGGUAACGGCCCACCAAGGCGACGAUCAGUAGGGGGUGUGAGAGCAUGACCCCCCACAUGGGUACUGAGACACGGACCCAACUCCUACGGGAGGCAGCAGUAAGGAAUAUUGGACAAUGGGCGAAAGCCUGAUCCAGCCAUGCCGCGUGAAGGAUGAAGGCGCUCAGCGUUGUAAACUUCUUUUGGACGGGAACAAUAUCCCCGACUUGUCGGGGCUUGAGGGUACCGUCAGAAUAAGCACCGGCUAACUCCGUGCCAGCAGCCGCGGUAAUACGGAGGGUGCAAGCGUUAUCCGGAAUCACUGGGUUUAAAGGGUGCGUAGGCGGUCUUGUAAGUCAGUCGUGAAAUCGCUGGGCUCAACCCAUGCAAUUGCGAUUGAUACUGCGAGACUUGAAUGGGGUUAAGGCAGGCGGAAUGUGGCAUGUAGCGGUGAAAUGCAUAGAUAUGCCAUAGAACACCGAUUGCGAAGGCAGCCUGCUGGGCCUUUAUUGACGCUGAGGCACGAAAGCGUGGGGAGCAAACAGGAUUAGAUACCCGGGUAGUCCACGCCCUAAACGAUGUUUACUUGCUGUUCGCCC